rnacentral:lncRNA from 1 species
GCUUUGUUAAAAUGAAAUUAUCUCAAAAUUUACUAUAAAGGACAUAAUUAUUUGUAGCGUGGGUUUUAUAUAACAUAGUAAUAAUUAAUUGGCAAACAGCACGAUGUUCCAUUUCCAUAAUAUAUGCAAGGAGCUGUCGAGUCACAACCUGAUAAACUGUUUCGAAGGCUUCUACCAACAGAGCCGAUGGAUAUUUUCUAGAAAUACGGUCCCUAAGUUUUAACAAGGUUACAAAAAUGUGGAGACCCAUGCUUAACUUAGGUCCGAAGAAAUGUUGAAUAAUGUUCUUAGAAUUAUUCAUUACCAUGCAUGCAUUAAUUACUCUCGACCCAGCAUUGUGCCCAAAUCACCAACCCAUACCAAGAGAAUUCACAAACCUUAUCAAGAACCAUAAGUAAAUUCAAUCAAGAGAAAGAAUACAGUAACCAUAAGCCCAAAGUUCUUAAACAAAUUCUUCAUCCUACCAAAUUACCCCAAGUCCUAACUUUUGUUAGAGACUAGAUAGCUUACCAUGCAGAAAGCCAUAUAACUAGGAGUAUCCAACACCUUGAAUAUCUAAAUCUCAUCUGUAACAAAGAUUUAAACGUACUUCGUGGAAAUCAUCUAAGAAGAGAUGGACUAAACAUAAAAUCAUGAAAUACAUUAAGAGAUCCAAGAGUUUUCACAAUCAAGAUCAUAGAAGGCCAGCCCAAAUGUACCUGAAAAUCAAAAGAAACAUCAAAAGAUAGGAGGAGAUAAAAUUUAGUAACAGUUUAUUAGAAUUACGAUUU